UUUGUUGAAGAGCUCAGUGGUUCCUCUGCUGUGCUAUGGUCCUGCUAGUCAUGCUUCCAUGCUGCCGCUUUGUUUGUCUUGCUGCUCAGCUGUGCUCCGCUUGUGGUGAAAGGACACUUUUUCCCCAGCAGUUCUUGUGGUUUGUGUGUGGACUCAUGCCCGGUUUUGGACUACGUAACCGGCGCAGCACUCACUUUGAAGCUCACAAGCUGUCUGCCUGCACAGAUAACCCCCUUACUGUGAUGGUGGAAAUCACUGGAGUAGAAUAGGAGAUGAGGUGGACAGAGAAAGAAACAUCAAAAGGAGAGGUUACUAGCGAUCAAUCUCACUGCACAACAGUGACCCCUGGUGGAGGAUCAAAGUUCCCCAGCAGCAAGGACAACAGUUCUCCCACUCACUCCCUCCAUUUCCCUUUGAUGGAAGAAAACUAAUAACAAUAAUGCAUCUCCAAAGAUACUUUGUACAUGUAAUAUGACGUAAGAAUCCUUACAGCAAAAUUGUCAUUUAAACAUUUCAGUGGCAAUGGCUGAUGCUGAACACAGAACAAAAGUCUAUCAGGUUUUUCAUCACUUCUGUAAUGUAGCUCCACCCAAAGAACUGUAGACUGAAGUGGGCAGAGU